UAAAGAACAGUGACCAUCUGACAGGGAUAGUUCCGUUUUAUAACACUAUUCUUGUACCCCUGAGGACGUGCGCGCUUUGCGAAGAAUUGCUUAUCUUCUACUCAAGAUUUGGUCUUGUAAAGGGUUCUACUACGCGAACCGGGAAGCCACAACCGGUUAGUGAAUCUACGAAAUGCCGUGGUUCACGUCCGCCUCAGGUCUUUAAUCGUGCCGUGCUUAUUUACAUCCAAACGUAAAACGAUGAUUUUCCUUAGACGAUUCCUGUGUAGUUCGGCGACAGCAUUUCGGUCGGGAACUGUUCUUAUCUCAAAAUCAUCUUGUAUCUUUUCGAACCUUGCCUUAGAAACGUGGUUGUUCGAACGACUUAACUUUGCUGAUUCGGAACGGGGCAUUCUCCUUUUGUGGACCAAUCAACCAUGUGUCGUCAUUGGACGCCAUCAGAAUCCGUGGCUAGAGGCCAACUUGAAGAGAAUGAACGACCUCAAAAUAGAUAUGGUGCGCCGAAAUAGUGGGGGUGGGACUGUUUAUCACGACCAAGGAAAUCUCAACAUAUCGUUCAUGGGACCUAAGGCCACGUACAAUCGAAAACGGAACCUGAACUUGAUUUGCGAUGUUCUUCGGAAGAAAUAUAACAUAAACGCGGAUCCAAAUGACAGGGACGAUAUUAUUGUGGAUGGCAAGUACAAGGUCUCUGGAACAGCAUCGAAACUCGCGCACAAGAAGGCAUAUCACCAUUGCACAUUGCUAGUCAAUGUCGACAAAUCGGUUUUGAGUGAAGUUCUAAAGAACCCUUGGGAGCAUCAGCUCGAAACCAAGUCAACGAGGAGCGUGCGCGCAGAAGUUCGAAACUUAAAAGAUAUCGCGUCACAAAUCGAGCCGUUAUCCUUAGCCAAAGACCUCGGCGAGCAGUUUUGUGCCGAACUUCAAACUAGUCUCAAUUUGAAAGAGAUUGAAAUCACUGAGGAGGCGUUCCCAGGCAUCACAAAUAUUACGAAACGACUUCAGGACUGGGAAUGGACGUUCGGAUGGACACCGAGAUUUAAAAUAUCGACAGAGAAGCUCAUUGUAACAGUAUACCACGGUCGAAUCGAGAAUAUUAUCGAAAUAGGGGCCAGAUUCGAAGCCUCGUCAUUGGGUCUCGUUAACAUUGUAUUGCGAGGGAGACGAUUUACCGUCGAAGAAAUAUAUACAGUACUUAACAAGCUGGAAAGCCAACGAAGUCGUUUGAGCACGUUGCAAGAUGCUCUUAUAGAGUGUGUCAACGUCGUAUCUUAUACAUAACCAACAAAAUUAGAUUAGUACAUAUGCUUUUAGAACAUAUUAAAAUUACUAUUCAGCAUUAGAAUAACGUUUACCAUAAGCAAAAAUCCAAAUGAUCCUAGAACCGCGCUGAUGCAUAGCAGGUCUCCGUCUUUCACAAUAUUAUCAUUUUGUGCCCUUUAUUGUGUUAGAUGACCCCCGUUAUCAUUGCAGUAGUCCAUCGUUAUAUGUAUAUUGCUCACGCAGGCAAAUAAAAGUUAGGAUUUUUUUUUACAUGCGUAUAGUUUUCUGGUGUUUUCUUAUAAUUAAUUCUUGCUUGCAUUCAGCUAUAUGUAGAUGGCUUUUUAAACUAUGUGUAUAUAUAUAUAUAUAUAUAUAUAUAACGGACGCUGAAAUUUUGGCAAGCGAAGAUGAACAAACUGUUUGUCGGGAACGCGUAAAGGUUUCGUAGAUCAGCUUUUGUCUCGAAAUUCUAUUACAUUAGCGCGCAAAUACAUUCAUGUAUAAACUACAGCAGGAAAAUGUGACCGAUAGAUAUAACUAAUUGGUAACCGCAAGCCAUGAGCACGUCAAGCAGCAUUGUCGAGGCUUGUCUUAGUAGGUGAUUACGUUAGUUCGAAAAUUGCAAACAACACAAGUAGCAGCGCUCAAGCCUGGUGAGGUCCUGGAAGAUCUUCGAUUUUGUCCUGCCUAUAAAUAUGGUGCCAAGGUAAAUUAAUUAUUCCGGCAAACCAGGAGAACUUCACAGAUAUUAUCGAAGAAACGCAGAUUCUGAUCGAUGGCGGAUCUCAC